rnacentral:piRNA from 1 species
AAAGAAAGAAAGAAAGAAACUUUUAGGGUAA